CAAGAAGCCGAAAGGCUACUUAAAACCAUCGCGAACUUAUCCAAGUUGCUUCGGCGGCGGCGGCUCCCCUCCACGGGGGGACCGCAGGCCCCCGCCUCUCAGGAGGUAAGGGGCAGGCCGCCGGAGGUACGAAACUCUGUAUUAUAGUGGUAUCUCUGAGUAUAAACAAAUAAGUUA
rnacentral:misc_RNA from 1 species